rnacentral:rRNA from 1 species
UACGGGGGGGGCAAGCGUUGUUCGGAAUUACUGGGCGUAAAGGGCUCGUAGGCGGCCAACUAAGUCAGACGUGAAAUCCCUCGGCUUAACCGGGGAACUGCGUCUGAUACUGGAUGGCUUGAAUCCGGGAGAGGGAUGCGGAAUUCCAGGUGUAGCGGUGAAAUGCGUAGAUAUCUGGAGGAACACCGGUGGCGAAGGCGGCCUGCUGGGGUGGAGCUGACGCUGAGGCGCGACAGCGUGGGGAGCAAACAGG